rnacentral:rRNA from 1 species
CCUACGGGAGGCAGCAGUGGGGAAUAUUGGACAAUGGGCGCAAGCCUGAUCCAGCCAUGCCGCGUGUGUGAAGAAGGCCUUCGGGUUGUAAAGCACUUUUAUCCGGAAAGAAAAGCUUUGGGUUAAUACCCUGAAGUCAUGACGGUACCGGAAGAGUAAGCACCGGCUAACUUCGUGCCAGCAGCCGCGGUAAUACGAAGGGUGCAAGCGUUACUCGGAAUUACUGGGCGUAAAGCGUGCGUAGGUGGUUUGUUAAGUCUGAUGUGAAAGCCCUAGGCUCAACCUGGGAAUUGCAUUGGAUACUGGCAGGCUAGAGUGCGGUAGAGGAUAGUGGAAUUCCCGGUGUAGCAGUGAAAUGCGUAGAGAUCGGGAGGAACAUCUGUGGCGAAGGCGACUAUCUGGGCCAGCACUGACACUGAGGCACGAAAGCGUGGGGAGCAAACAGGAUUAGAUACCCUGGUAGUCCACGCCCUAAACGAUGCGAACUGGAUGUUGGGUGCAACUAGGCACUCAGUAUCGAAGCUAACGCGUUAAGUUCGCCGCCUGGGGAGUCGGUCGCAAGCUGAAACUUAAGGAAUUGACGNNGAGAGNGCGAGCGAGAGAGGAGNG